GACGAACGCUGGCGGCGUGCCUAAUACAUGCAAGUAGAACGCUGAAGGAGGAGCUUGCUUCUCUGGAUGAGUUGCGAACGGGUGAGUAACGCGUAGGUAACCUGCCUGGUAGCGGGGGAUAACUAUUGGAAACGAUAGCUAAUACCGCAUAAGAGUAGAUGUUGCAUGACAUUUACUUAAAAGGUGCAAUUGCAUCACUACCAGAUGGACCUGCGUUGUAUUAGCUAGUUGGUGAGGUAACGGCUCACCAAGGCAACGAUACAUAGCCGACCUGAGAGGGUGAUCGGCCACACUGGGACUGAGACACGGCCCAGACUCCUACGGGAGGCAGCAGGAGGGAAUCUUCGGCAAUGGACGGAAGUCUGACCGAGCAACGCCGCGUGAGUGAAGAAGGGUGUCGGAUCGUAAAGCUCUGUUGUAAGAGAAGAACGAGUGUGAGAGUGGAAAGUUCACACUGUGACGGUAUCUUAACAGAAAGGGACGGCUAACUACGUG
rnacentral:rRNA from 1 species